UACGUAGGGACCAAGCGUUGUUCGGAUUUACUGGGCGUAAAGGGCGCGUAGGCGGCAAAUUAAGUCAGCUGUGAAAUCUCCGAGCUUAACUCGGAACUGUCAGCUGAUACUGAUGUGCUAGAGUGCGGAAGGGGCAAUCGGAAUUCUUGGUGUAGCGGUGAAAUGCGUAGAUAUCAAGAGGAACACCUGAGGUGAAGACGGGUUGCUGGGCCGACACUGACGCUGAGUGCGCGAAAGCCAGGGGAGCGAACGGG
rnacentral:rRNA from 1 species